rnacentral:lncRNA from 1 species
UUUAAAUUAUUCAGAUUUGCUUGAAAUCUCCUAAAAAUGUAAUGAAUUUUAAUGAAUUUAAAAAUUUUAUUUCCUUUUUUAUUAUAAUUGUGAUGUGCUGUGCACCGAGGUUCGAUGUUUUAUAUGCAUGAUGGGUGGGUGUCGUGUUGGGUUCGGUUGGGUUGGGAGAGAUUUUCGACCGGUCAGAUUCUCUGUUGCGUUUCUGUAUUGGUGUUUGGAGCUGCCGCCGGUGUGUGCUAUGGAUUGGGCGUUGCUGCAUCGUGGCGGUCGCUGCCGAUUGGCAUUGUUUUUUGGUGGGUUUUCCGUUGUUUUUUGUCGCAUUCUUUUUGGGUGGGGUCUAUUGCAAUUCAUGGGUGGUGCCUUCUUAUUUGCGUUUGGAC